UACGAGGGGGGCAAGCGUUGUUCGGAAUUACUGGGCGUAAAGGGUGCGUAGGCGGCCCUGUAAGUAUGGUGUGAAAUCUCCCGGCUUAACUGGGAGGGUGCGCUAUAGACUGCGGGGCUCGAGUGUGGGAGAGGAAAGUGGAAUUCCUGGUGUAGCGGUGAAAUGCGUAGAUAUCAGGAGGAACACCGGUGGUGUAAACGGCUUUCUGGACCAUAACUGACGCUGAGGAGCGAAAGCGUGGGGAGCGAACAGG
rnacentral:rRNA from 1 species